GACGAACGCUGGCGGCGUGCUUAACACAUGCAAGUCGAACGGAAAGGCCCUGCUUUUGUGGGGUGCUCGAGUGGCGAACGGGUGAGUAACACGUGAGUAACCUGCCCUUGACUUUGGGAUAACUUCAUGAAACUGGGGCUAAUACCGGAUAGGAGCUCCUGCUGCAUGGUGGGGGUUGGUAAGUUUCGGCGGUUGGGGAUGGACUCGCGUCUUAUCAGCUUGUUGGUGGGGUAGUGGCUUACCAAGGCUUUGACGGGUAGCCGGCCUGAGAGGGUAACCGGCCACAUUGCGACUGAGAUACGGCCCAGACUCCUACGGGAGGCAGCAGUGGAGAAUAGUGCACAAUGGGCGGAAGCAUGAUGCAGCAACGCCGCGUGCGGGAUGACGGCCAUCGGGUUGUAAACCGAUUUCGCCUGUGACGAAGCGUGAGUGACGGUAAUGGGUAAAGAAGCACCGGCUAACUACGUG
rnacentral:rRNA from 1 species